GGAUUGAGUCCUGCGCAACGGGAACUUGCGAACCUGGUCAGGUCCGGGAGGAAGCAGCCAUAAGCGAGCGCUCCCGUGUGCCGCGGGAUUGCUCAGUCUGAGC
rnacentral:SRP_RNA from 1 species